UGGGGAAUUUUGGACAAUGGGGGCAACCCUGAUCCAGCAAUGCUGCGUGUGUGAAGAAGGCCUUCGGGUUGUAAAGCAUUUUUGUCCGGGAAGAAAUCGCACCUGACAAUACCGGGUGUGGAUGACGGUACCGGAAGAAUAAGGACCGGCUAACUACGUGCCAGCAGCCGCGGUAAUACGUAGGGUCCAAGCGUUAAUCGGAAUUACUGGGCGUAAAGCGUGCGCAGGCGGUUGUGCAAGACCGAUGUGAAAUCCCCGGGCUUAACCUGUGAAUUGCAUUAGUGACUUCACGGCUAGAGUGUGUCAGAGGGGGGUAGAAUUCCACGUGUAGCAGUGAAAUGCGUUGAGAUGUGGGGGAAUACCGAUGGCGAAGGCAGCCCCCUGGGAUAACACUGACGCUCAUGCACGGAAACGUGGGGAGCAAACAGG
rnacentral:rRNA from 1 species